CUAGCUGUCAGUCACUGUAAGUAGUUUGGGAUCUGUACUACAUGUCUUUAAUUGUGAAAGAUGUAUAAAUACCAUGCCACUUCCAAUCUGUUUUUGACAGAUGUUUUUUUCUGCUUUGUAUACUGCUCAUUCAUUAAUUUUCAUGGGUACCAAUUUUCAUGGAUUAAGGAAAACUAGCAUGUUCAGGGAUAUUUAAUUUCGUGGUUUUGAUGAAGUCUACAUAUAAGCCUAUAGAAAAUUUAUCAUUGGUUGAACAAUUAAUUUUGUGGUUCAUUUGUAACCAAGAAAUUCACGAAAAUUGGUAUCCAACGAAAAUUAAUGAAUCCACAGUACUUCUGAUGAGUCAAUAUAUUUUUGACUAAAUCUUAUAGGUUGUUUUUAUAUGGUGAUGUUAUGGGAUUGUCACAUGGUAGGGGAUUGUUCAUCACUUACAAACAUGUUAAACCCGCCACAUUAUUUAUGUGUAUGUCCCAAGCUAGGAGCCUUUUGUUCUGUGGUUGUCGU
rnacentral:lncRNA from 1 species